rnacentral:rRNA from 1 species
CAGCCGCCGCGGUAAUACGUAGGUGGCAAGCGUUGUCCGGAAUUAUUGGGCGUAAAGGGCUCGCAGGCGGUUUCUUAAGUCUGAUGUGAAAGCCCCCGGCUCAACCGGGGAGGGUCAUUGGAAACUGGGAAACUUGAGUGCAGAAGAGGAGAGUGGAAUUCCACGUGUAGCGGUGAAAUGCGUAGAGAUGUGGAGGAACACCAGUGGCGAAGGCGACUCUCUGGUCUGUAACUGACGCUGAGGAGCGGAAGCGUGGGGAGCGAACAGGAUUAGAUACCCCGGUAGUCCCUGUCUCUUAUAC